GUCCCUUCGGGGACAUCCGAUAAAAUUGGAACGAUACAGAGAAGAUUAGCAUGGCUCCUGCGCAAGGAUGAUAUGCACAAAAAAACUAGUAGAUUACU